GAUAAAACUAUGAAAAAGUAAAAGAAAUAUUUAUAAAUGUCAAUAUGGGUUGUUAGAUAACACUCAUGAAAUCCAAGGGAAGAGAUGCUUCACUUUCUUAUGAGGUCUCUUCAUAUUUGCUCAAAGGUCAAGAAGCUCCAAAUGCUCCCACUGGUUGUUAGAUCCUGAAGCAGCUACUUUGACUAAUGAAAAAACAGUGACACCUUCCUUCUCAGUGCAAUUGCCAAGCAUUUCCACCAUAUCAUAGUUGUGUAUCAUAUCAUUUAAAGUUAGCACAUUCCAUUUAGGAGACCAAUGCAUGUACAGACCCCAAAC
rnacentral:misc_RNA from 1 species